rnacentral:rRNA from 1 species
UACGGGGGGGGGCAAGCGUUGUUCGGAAUUACUGGGCGUAAAGGGCUCGUAGGUGGCCAACUAAGUCGGACGUGAAAUCCCUCGGCUUAACCGGGGAACUGCGUCUGAUACUGGAUGGCUUGAGUUCGGGAGAGGGAUGCGGAAUUCCAGGUGUAGCGGUGAAAUGCGCAGAUAUCAGGAGGAACACCAAUUGCGAAGGCAGCUCGCUGGGACGUUACUGACGCUGAGACGCGAAAGCGUGGGGAGCAAACAGG